rnacentral:lncRNA from 1 species
AUAUGUAUAACAGCAUACAAGCAGAGUAAUUAAAGUUGCAUCACUUAGACAUAACAUAUAUGUGUAUCUCAAUAAUCCAUCAUGUCUACAAGCAUAUGUAGGUUCACAAGCCCAGAUUACAACACAACAACAAAAAGCCCAUGCACAUAUAGGCGUACAUUUGUAGGUUCAUAGGUCUAGUAUUGCAUCAUAGACAAAAGCACAAAAUAUAAUAUCUGGUCUUUGUUAGAAACAGAUCACAGCAGAAGAUCCUUUUAGCUCACGAAACACACCUCUUGAAACUUGUGGAUGGAAAAGAAUUAUACCCGUGACCUGUAAAAAAGAAGAAAUGGCCAAUUAGAUCAGCUUGGAAGAACACAUUUUCCACAAAAAGAAACUUGUGGGUGCAAGCAAUAGCAGGUCAGAAUUCCACAAGGCACACGCAGAAUGCGUGUUAUGUACUCAUAAGAACAGAUAAUGCACAUGGUGAUUAGAGUUAAGGUUUUCACUUGGGAAAUGGUUACUAACUUACCUGGACCAAGUUUUACUUUUGCAAUUUAAUAGAAUAGAGCGAUUGACUUGGAAGUCACUAUGUUUAUUAUUAGCGAAGACGACGAGCUAUGAUUAAUUUUCAAUAGAAUAGACAUUGUGAUCAGAAGUAAAAUUGUCAUGUUGGAUGAAACAAAUAUAAAGGGGUCCAUGGUAAUUUAUCUUGAUUGAAACUACAGGCUCGGGUAGGCUCUAUUCAGAUAGCAUGAGAAUAACUCUUGCAGGACAAAAGGAAAGAAGAAAGUUGGCCCUGGUACUCUGCUAGCAUUCAUCCCAAAUACCAGGGAAAGUGAGGCCUAAUUUUUGCAAGAGCUGGUUCAUUACACGCUUUCUCUAGAAAAUAAUGAAAACGAAAUAAGCUUUUCUUUAGAAUAUUCAGAAUUAUAAUUAUAUGCAAUACCUUCUAGACGUGGGGACUGCUACCGGCUAUGAUGGUUGCUUCUGCAUAACUUCGCAACAUUAAGAACCAAGCUCAACACCUGCCACUAUCUUCGUCCAAUCAAUUAAAUGGAUAGUUAGCAGCCAAACACAUUCAGGAUGUGCAUAAAUUAAUGCAAAGACAGUAAAAAUGAAUCCUGUAAGUUAAUGCAAAGCAGAGCAAGUUCCUGUGACUUAGUAGUGCCACUUAUUCCAUGACUACCAUUACUGCGGAAAAAAUAAAGGAUCAAAAUAAAAAAGAGAUAAUGUUGAAAUCACAGCAAGAUGGAGGACCAUUAAUUGCAACUUCAUCUUUAGCUUCAAUUCAUACACCCAAGAAAAAACCACAAAGGGCCUAUUUGGAAUAAUUUAUGAUAUCUCUAGGUAAUGAUUUUGAACUAGCAAUAAUUAGCACGCAUGGAUUGAUCAACGCAAGGACAGAUAUAUGAAACAUAAGGAUUAGAAGAAUAGCAGAGAGCAACAUAUUUUAGGCCUGUUCUUAUUGGUCAACGUAAUCAGUGAGGAUGUUCUUGUUGCAGCCAUGCUAAAAUAUAACCGGAAGUACAUAUGCCAAGCAGCCAAGCAUGAAGCUGUUAAUUAGAUCUGAAAAUCAAACAAACAAGUAUUUACCAUAUCGGUAAAUAUUUCUAUUGUAAAACAGCAAAGAACAGAAAUGAAGAUAUAUUGAGAAUCUUUAAAUGUGAAGGUUUAGCACCUACUGAACAUAGCGCCUACAGUGUAAGCUUGACGAAAAAGAACUAGCUAUCCAAAUUAGACUGCAUGUCACAGUGUUAACCAUAACUAUCGAGAAAAUUAAAGUGUAUUAUUGAACAGAUGAUGCAAUUCUGAAUUUGCAAGAGAAGAUAUAAAAUCCUAUGUUGCUCAAUGCAAAGAAUGCAAGAUACAAGCACUAUGUAUAUCAGGUUCAUAAUAACAAAAUACACAUGGAAGUCUAAGUAGCAUGCAUGUUAUCUAUUCUUACCUCUUAUUCUAGAAUGUAUUGUGUUACGUGUACUAAUCACAUCUAUUCAUUACUGUUAUUCCAGAACUUAUCAUGUUAAAUGUAGAUAAUUUAAUUAGACCAUAUACUUUCAGGGAGGGGGGCGAACAACAAAAUCAUCUAUCCAAACAUCAGAUAUGACAUUCAGUUUUACAAGCUCACAACUAUCUUACAUACGCAAUGAAAGUAGAAAGACAUCUGACAAACACACCAGGGUACAAAACGUGGAAUUAAGUGUCACUAGAUAAUUGCAUUUGAGGGCAGAAUGUUUAUGCUAGCUGACUCAAACUCAGUUGACACAAUGUCACCUAGCCACAUCGACAUUUGCCAGUGCCAUCUUCUAGUCGGAGCAAACUUGAGCCAUGCAUUUCUGAACAACCAAGAACAGCGAAGCCACAAAAAGCCCAUAUUCUGUCAUUUCUGGAGGCUCCCUGUAUGGAAGCACGAAGGGACAUAUCUACGCAUAGUUGUAGAAAAAAUAUCUGAACAACAACUAGAAUGAUUAUUUGUUAUAAGGCAAUAACGCAGGAAUCAAAGGGCUUUUUAACUGCAUAAACUCUAAACAAGACAUAUUAAUUUGAUUGGUUAAGCUAUAGCUGCAGUGUUGAUUUAUAAUUUUAACAAGAGGGAAAGAGAGACUAAAACAGAACAUAUUUAGUACAUAGCUAUCGUGCAGCAAAACUCUCGACAAUAAACUUCAUUUAUAAGAAGAGCAGAGGACCGAAAAGGUAGAAGAGGGGGCAGCAGCCUAUGGACACAUGCUGAGGAAAGCAGAGCAACAGAAAGGUGGUGGGCGCCGGACCUGCAGGCUUGCCUAUUGGCAGGUGCACAUCAUAGGCAACGGAUACGUGAUGAGCGGGUGGAGGGCACCGAAGGCCAGGC